ACAAGCAGCGGAGCGUGUGGUUUAAUUCGAUGCUACACGAAGAACUUACCAGGGUUUGACAUACAAGUAGUAGGGAACUGAAAGGGACCGACCCUUCGGGGAGCCUAUACAGGUGUUGCAUGGCUGUCGUCAGCUCGUGUCGUGAGAUGUUCGGUUAAGUCCGCUAACGAGCGCAACCCUCGUCGUAUGUUAUAUGUGUCAUACGAGACUGCCGGUAAAAGCCGGAGGAAGGUGAGGAUGAUGUCAAGUCAGCAUGACCUUUAUAUCCAGGGCUACACACACGCUACAAUGGUCUGUACAAUGGGUAGCCAAGCCGCGAGGCGGAGCCAAUCCUGAAAGCAGGCCUCAGUUCAGAUUGCAGUCUGCAACUCGACUGCAUGAAGCCGGAGUUGCUAGUAACCGCAGGUCAGCAAUACUGCGGUGAAUACGUUCCCGGGUCUU
rnacentral:rRNA from 1 species